UAACACGUGGGUAACCUGCCCAAGAGACUGGGAUAACACCUGGAAACAGAUGCUAAUACCGGAUAACAACACUAGACGCAUGUCUAGAGUUUAAAAGAUGGUUCUGCUAUCACUCUUGGAUGGACCUGCGGUGCAUUAGCUAGUUGGUAAGGUAACGGCUUACCAAGGCAAUGAUGCAUAGCCGAGUUGAGAGACUGAUCGGCCACAUUGGGACUGAGACACGGCCCAAACUCCUACGGGAGGCAGCAGUAGGGAAUCUUCCACAAUGGACGCAAGUCUGAUGGAGCAACGCCGCGUGAGUGAAGAAGGGUUUCGGCUCGUAAAGCUCUGUUGGUAGUGAAGAAAGAUAGAGGUAGUAACUGGCCUUUAUUUGACGGUAAUUACUUAGAAAGUCACGGCUAACUACGUGCCAGCAGCCGCGGUAAUACGUAGGUGGCAAGCGUUGUCCGGAUUUAUUGGGCGUAAAGCGAGUGCAGGCGGUUCAAUAAGUCUGAUGUGAAAGCCUUCGGCUCAACCGGAGAAUUGCAUCAGAAACUGUUGAACUUGAGUGCAGAAGAGGAGAGUGGAACUCCAUGUGUAGCGGUGGAAUGCGUAGAUAUAUGGAAGAACACCAGUGGCGAAGGCGGCUCUCUGGUCUGCAACUGACGCUGAGGCUCGAAAGCAUGGGUAGCGAACAGGAUUAGAUACCCUGGUAGUCCAUGCCGUAAACGAUGAGUGCUAAGUGUUGGGAGGUUUCCGCCUCUCAGUGCUGCAGCUAACGCAUUAAGCACUCCGCCUGGGGAGUACGACCGCAAGGU
rnacentral:rRNA from 1 species